UUUAAAUGUAAAAUAUAUUACUAAAGUAGUAAUAGUUAUGAUCUUGAAAUUUAAAGAUUUUGGCGGUAUUUUAGUCUAUUUAGAGGAACCUGUUCUGUAAUUGAUAGUCCACGAUUAAUUUUACUUAUUUUAAAAAUUUGUAUACCGUCGUUAUAAGAAAAUUUUAAUAGAAUAUAAAUUUUUAAUAUUUUAAAUUAAAAUAUAUAUCAGAUCAAGGUGCAGUUUAUAAAUAAGAAGAAAUGGGUUACAAUAAAUAUAUUUAUAUGGAUUAAAGUAAGAAAAAUGACUUUAUGAAGGUGGAUUUAAUAGUAAUAAAAUUUAAUUAAAUUUUAUGAUUUUAGCUCUAAAAUAUGU
rnacentral:rRNA from 1 species